GACGAACGCUGGCGGCGCGCUUAACACAUGCAAGUCGAGCGAAGCGGCGGACGGGUGAGUAACACGUGAGUAACCUGCCUUAGACAUUGGGAUAGCCUCGGGAAACCGGGAUUAAUACCAAAUGGUCUAAGAUGGACUCGCGUCCCAUUAGCUAGUUGGUGGGUAACGACCCACCAAGGGGACGAUGGGUAGCCGGGCUGAGAGGGUGGACGGCCACAUUGGAACGGAGAAACGGUGCGAACUCUACGGGAGGGAGCAGUGGGGAAUAUUGCACAAUGGAGGGAACGCUGAUGCAGUGACGCCGGGUGAACGAAGAAGGCGUGCGAGUCGUGAAGAUCUUUUAUAUGGGAAGCGGUACCAGAAGAAAAAGCCCCGGCUAACUACGUGCCAGCAGCCGCGGUAAUUC
rnacentral:rRNA from 1 species